CGACUACAUGAAGCUGGAAUCGCUAGUAAUCGCAGGUCAGCAUACUGCGGUGAAUACGUUCCCGGGUCUUGUACACACCGCCCGUCACACCAUGGGAGCCGGAAAUGCCCGAAGCCAGUGACCCAACCUUAGGGAGGGAGCUGUCGAAGGUGGAGCCGGUAACUGGGGUGAAGUCGUAACAAGGUACC
rnacentral:rRNA from 1 species